rnacentral:rRNA from 1 species
GACGAAGGGGGCUAGCGUUGUUCGGAAUUAUUGGGCGUAAAGGGCGCGUAGGCGGUGCGGUAAGUCACCUGUGAAAUCUCCUGGCUCAACUGGGAGCUUGCAGGCGAAACUGCCGUGCUGGAGUGUGGGAGAGGUGAGUGGAAUUCUCGGUGUAGCGGUGAAAUGCGUAGAUAUCGAGAGGAACACCUGCGGCGAAGGCGGGUUGCUGGGCUGACACUGACGCUGAGGCGCGAAAGCUAGGGGAGCGAACGGG